UACGUAGGCAGCAAGCGUUGUUCGGAAUUACUGGGCGUAAAGAGUGUGUAGGCGGUGCUCUAAGUUCGGUGUGAAAUCUCCCGGCUUAACUGGGAGGGUGCGCCGGAAACUGGAGUGCUUGAGCGCGGGAGAGGAAAGCGGAAUUCCUGGUGUAGCGGUGAAAUGCGUAGAUAUCAGGAGGAACACCUGUGGUGUAGACGGCUUUCUGGACCGUAGCUGACGCUGAGACACGGAAGCAUGGGUAGCAAACAGG
rnacentral:rRNA from 1 species